AUCAUGAGAGGACUGCAAGCCCUGCCCCUUCACAUUCCUCCAAGCACUGAGAAAUCCUAUCUGGUCCCCUUCUCUGCUUUGUCAGGCUGAGGCCUGGCCUCUCUGUCCUGCAGGUGCACGGGUGUAAGAAAAGGACUGGAGCCCGUGUGAAUAAACUGCUGAGAAUCAGCCCUUCCUCCCAUGGAAAUCAUAUAUUGGCUGGGGCUCCAGGGUAUGCUUUGUGCUCCAGCGGUAAGAUUUAUUUCUUUUCCUUCUCUGUAGAAAAUUCCCCUCUCAUGGUGGCACAGGGAGAAAAUAAUGUCCUAAAAGUGGAGACAGACUGGGGCAAGCAGAUGGCUGCGAAGGCGCCAUUUCUCUGUGUGUCCAGCAGGGGGCGCCGAUGACAAGCGCGCGGGCUGCGAGGCCGCACAGACUCUUACGCAACGAUGAGGGCGCAGGCUCGCGGGCCAAGGAUGCUGACGCAGGCCUGAGUCCGGAAAAGACCCGCACAUCUGGGGCCCAAGUGGCCCAUUUCCCCAGAGGCGAGCAAGGACUCUCAGGAAUCGUCAUCCUUCCCAUGAAAUCCUGGAAACUGCUUAACUCCUUUAAGGAUCUUUCCAAAGGUCUUCAAUUUUGAUAUAAGCAACAAAGAAUAAGAGGGCUAUUAGAUCAGAAAUAUUCCAUGAAGAAGGGAGCAAAGAUUCAUGUCACUGACAACUGGAGAAGAAACAGAGAAAGGGUAAUAAUAUCGUGGGACAGAAUGGAGUCCCUUCCAGAUCUUUGGAGGGCUAGCACCAUAUCCUUCCCAAUCAUUUAUUGCAAGGCUAACUAAGGUCCUGAAGAGUGGGCCCCUUCAGUCUGAGGCCAAGAGGCCGCUGACCUACCCUGAUAUAGACCAAACUGUGCUUAGUUUCCCUCUGGAAGCACCAGAAUAGCUGCACUGGUUGUACUGUGUCAUUUCAGAAUGCUGACCUCAACCCUUAGCCCAUUUGUUUGCUGACACAAUAGUUCUUUUUUUUUUUUUUUUUUUUUUUUUUGAGAAAAAUAAAUCUUUGUACUGCAGUUAGAAAUAAAGCUUAAAGAAAAAUCACUGGGAUUGGUGACAUGUUGCUUUAAGUUAAAAAAUGGCUCUGCAAGGUGGGUAUCCAAACCUUUGCAGCUGUUCUCCAUGCAAGAAGAACAACUCAAGAGCAGCAUGUCAUGGGCAGCUCCCAGGAAAGGAGGAGAGAGGCUGGAGGCACCAAACCCAUCCAAGCACUCAGUACUUGCAAAGGCGCUGGUCUCCUUUACUAUCCAAACACCUUACACUUUCUAGGAAUUCAAUACACACGGAUUAAAGCCCAACUUACUAAAACUAGUUAUUUAGCAUUAAUAAUUUGAAUCUUUAAGUUUUAGCUGGUGAAGGACUAUAUAAGUUUUUAUUUGAAAAUCAAGCGUGUUUUUCUUUCUUUCUUUCAAAUCAGGUACUCAUGAUGUGUGACAAAUGGCAUGCCUCCUGCAAGAGUUAUGAGUUAUGUGCCUAAACAGGAAGGAUCAUCUCAUUGCAGAAUUAGGGCAUCAUCCAGUGGGAAGGGAGUUUCAAGGUCAUUUAGUCCAGCCUCCGAGUGAUACAGAAAUUCUCUUUGCAGCAUCCCUAUCACGUGGCCAUCAAACUUCUACUAGUGUAUUCAUCCACACCUGGUCUGUCUAAAACCUUGAGAACAGCCCCUUGUAUAGUUCAAUAGCCCCAGCUGAAGGAAAAGUUUUUGUUAUUUUCAGUAAACAUAUUCUGUUGUGUAACUUUGGUUGAUCGGUUCCCCUUUAGCGACCCAGAAAACACUGAGCUCCCUCUGACACCCAUGCCCUUUGACUGAAAGUCAGCCAUAAAAUAGAGCACCAGAGUAACUUUCCAGAGUCCCAGAUUUGCCCCUUCGCUCCACUGCAAAUCAAAUGUGUGACCUGUGUUUCAAUUCAAUUAGCCUUUUCCUAAGGGUUUCACUGUUUCUGUUCCUGUGAGUUUCUUUUUUAAAGAUCUGUAUUUGUAUAUUUCAAGUGGAAUUUUUUUUUUUUUUAGCAAACCACAACAUUUUAUUUUAAAUUGAGAGAUAUGGUUUGAUUUUUAUUUUUAUUGUGGAAAAUUUCAAACAUACAAGAGUAGAUAUAAUAUAGUAAUGAAUGCCUUAGUAUUUGUCACCCAGGUGUAAAUAUAUCAAAUUGUGGUCAGUCUUUUUUUUUUUGAGACGGAGUCUCGCUCUGUUGCCCAGGCUGGAGUGCUGGAGUGCAG
rnacentral:lncRNA from 1 species